rnacentral:misc_RNA from 1 species
GAUGAAGAACGCAGCGAAAUGCGAUAAGUAAUGUGAAUUGCAGAAUUCAGUGAAUCAUCGAAUCUUUGAACGCACAUUGCGCCCCUUGGUAUUCCGAGGGGCAUGCCUGUUCGAGCGUCAUUAUAACCCCUCAAGCUCAGCUUGGUGUUGGGGCCUGCUGCACUGGCAGCCCUUAAAAUCAGUGGCGGCGCCAUCUGGCUCUAAGCGUAGUAAUUCUUCUCGCUAUGGAGUCCUGGUGGAUGCUUGCCAUCAACCCCCAAUUUUUCUAUGGUUGACCCCGGAUCAGGUAGGGAUACCCGCUGAACUUAAGCAUAUCAAUAAGCGGAG